rnacentral:rRNA from 1 species
CGGGGUGAGUAAUGUCUGGGAAACUGCCUGAUGGAGGGGGAUAACUACUGGAAACGGUAGCUAAUACCGCAUAACGUCGCAAGACCAAAGAGGGGGACCGUUCGGGCCUCUUGCCAUCGGAUGUGCCCAGAUGGGAUUAGCUAGUAGGUGGGGUAACGGCUCACCUAGGCGACGAUCCCUAGCUGGUCUGAGAGGAUGGCCAGCCACACUGGAACUGAGACACGGUCCAG